ACAGAUUACUCAUUACUACAUGAUUGAUAUCAAACAGGUUACUCAUUACUACAUGAUUGAUAUACUUGUUUAUUUCCUACUAAUUGGUUAAGGCUGGCUUUCCUCAAUGGGCCAUUGUCUUGUGUCUUCCGUGUAACUAAGACUUGCAUAACAGAGUGUACCUACUGUACCGUACUAU